rnacentral:tRNA from 397 species
CGCGGGGUGGAGCAGCCUGGUAGCUCGUCGGGCUCAUAACCCGAAGGUCGUCAGUUCAAAUCUGGCCCCCGCAACCA